rnacentral:RNase_P_RNA from 1 species
UCUUUCCACUGGGUGAUCGCGCCGCUUAAUAUAUUGAGUGGUGAGGAAAGUCCGAGCACCAUCCCGCUUUCAGUGGGAUAGAGAUAGCGGCUAACAGCCGCCAUGACCGGGAAACCAAGCACUCAACUUUCAGAGUUGAGUGCUCGGCCGAGCACUAAAAUUUCAUUUUAGUGCUUUGGGUGUCACAGAAACCAUACCGCCGAUCGUCACCAUCUUUGGUCUAAAGCCAAAGGCGAUGAAGGAGGCAAGGGUGAAAAGAGUGAGGUAAAAGCUCACAGCGCGCGUUGGCAACAAUGCGCGGUGAAAAACUCCUAUCCGGUGCAAGAGGAUACCGUAUUGUACGGUAACACUCGCUUGACCCCAAGAGUAAUCAAGGGGCUAGAUAGAUGAUCACCGCUUGCGCAAUCCCCGACGACUAAUUACUAAUUUCCAAUUUUGGGAGUUCUAAGUUAGAAAUUGGCAGUUGCGUUAGCAACAGAACUCGGCUUAUAGGUGGAAGGAACAA